UAAAGAAGAGAUGCUAGGAAUUUCAUAUGGAGAGCUUUUUCUCUUGCUUGGCGCUACUGCUUCCCCCCUCGUUUGGGUUCAAUAUGUGAUUCCAGAGUAGUCUUCUUCCUAAUUUAGGUGUUCAAAAUCGAAUUUAGACGUCGAUUUGACCAUUUUUAGGGUGAUAUUCCUCGUAAUUUCUUUAAAUUUUGAAAAACAUUAGUAGGUGAUAAUUAAAGUUAUCUAUUGAGUGAUUAAGUUUUGAUUGCAAGGGUAUGCAAACUAUCAAUUAUGCUUCAAUUUCAAACUAGUUGAGCUUGGCUAUAUAAGUGUCCUGUAUCAGUUUUACUUUAUUCAGACCCUUUUCAUUUGAUGUGCAGUAUGAAUAAGUUGAUGGUUAAGUCUCAUAAUUUUGACCUUAGAAUUGAAAUACUUGUAAUUAUUUGAAAUACUUGAAGUAAAGUCCUUCCAAAGGUACAAGUGAAAUUGGAUGAGAUCAGUAUUGCGGUCUUUGACUUGAUACUGCUGAAGUGAGGUUGUCUUAGAAGAAGGAGAUUAGGUGUGGUUAGAUUAAGUCACUUCCAAAAAGUUCAAGUUAUUGUGAUCAGAAUUAGAGUUAGACGAAAUCACAUUUUAAUGGCCAUUUCUGCAUCACGAAUCAUGUUGUCUUAUAUGUGAUGGGUGAUAGGGUGGCAGCUGCCAUAUUGUUUGAAUGGGUUUCCGAUCCAGUUGAUGUUCCGACAUCCCAAAUCGAGGUGGCUCUAAACUCAGGUUUCCUACCUCUCUAGUUACAGAGAGAGGAGAGGGGCGUUGAAGCCUUAAUUCGAGCUAGAAAUCUCGCUAGAGAACUAGCCAUAUCAAUCUAGAUUCUAGAUGGUGUAAAUACUAGCUUGUGCGCACCCUGAGUAUUCCACCAGAUGAAGCAAAGGGGUCUGACAUUGUGUUAGAAGCGAUACUGGAGGCAGAAGUGGCAAAUAAUGCCAAAGAGUUCUUCUCGCAGCCACCAAACCAAUUAAAAAGUGAAUGAAGAGGUACAUCUGAAGAAGAUUUGCGCCAUUAGAGGUCAGAAAUCAGCUUCAUGCCAAGGGAGCCUGAUGAAAGAUUGCUAAAGACUGAAUGAUUUUAGCCUAAUUCGAGUCUCUUGUUGUGGUUUUUGAGCCAUGAUACCUCGUUUGUUCAGAUAUCAUAGGCAUCUAAAGAACAUAAGACCCGUGUUGCCACAAGGGAAACUACUCAUCUUGUUUGACUGAUGGUUUUCUGCAACCAGUUCUACCUAUUUCUUAACCCUUCUAAAUGACCCGUGUUGACAGAUGCUUGGAUUUUAGAGUUCUUUCAUGUUUGUUAUAAUUUCUGAACUUUCCCUCUUCUCCGGCCAAGCCGUAUAUGUUGCAUAUGAACUUCUUUGCAAUAUAAUUGGCAGAAAACUGUUGAACUAA